rnacentral:rRNA from 1 species
AGUGAACGCUGGCGGUAGGCCUAACACAUGCAAGUCGAACGGCAGCACAGUAAGAGCUUGCUCUUACGGGUGGCGAGUGGCGGACGGGUGAGGAAUACAUCGGAAUCUACUUUUUCGUGGGGGAUAACGUAGGGAAACUUACGCUAAUACCGCAUACGACCUACGGGUGAAAGCAGGGGAUCUUCGGACCUUGCGCGAUUGAAUGGGCCGAUGUCGGAUUAGCUAGUUGGCGGGGUAAAGGCCCACCAAGGCGACGAUCCGUAGCUGGUCUGAGAGGAUGGUCAGCCACACUGGAACUGAGACACGGUCCAGACUCCUACGGGAGGCAGCAGUGGGGAAUAUUGGACAAUGGGCGCAAGCCUGAUCCAGCCAUACCGCGUGGGUGAAGAAGGCCUUCGGGUUGUAAAGCCCUUUUGUUGGGAAAGAAAAGCAGCAGGUUAAUACCCCGCUGUUCUGACGGUACCCAAAGAAUAAGCACCGGCUAACUUCGUG